rnacentral:rRNA from 1 species
CUACGGGCGGCACCAGUGGGGAAUAUUGCACAAUGGAGGAAACUCUGAUGCAGCAACGCCGCGUGGAGGAUGACACUUUUCGGAGCGUAAACUCCUUUUAUAUAGGAAGAAGAUGACGGUACUAUAUGAAUAAGCGCCGGCUAACUCCGUGCCAGCAGCCGCGGUAAUACGGAGGGCGCAAGCGUUACUCGGAAUCACUGGGCGUAAAGAGCGUGUAGGCGGAUUAAAAAGUCAGAAGUGAAAUCCUAUAGCUUAACUAUAGAACUGCUUCUGAAACUCUUAAUCUAGAAUAUGGGAGAGGUAGAUGGAAUUUCUGGUGUAGGGGUAAAAUCCGUAGAGAUCAGAAGGAAUACCGAUUGCGAAGGCGAUCUACUAGAACAUUAUUGACGCUGAGACGCGAAAGCGUGGGGAGCAAACAGGAUUAGAUACCCUAGUAGUC